ACACUCAUUCAGCAACAGCAGCACCACCACCACCACCAGCAGCAGCGGACAGCCCUGAGGAGGUAUUAGACCCUCCAUGCUGUCUUAAACCUUGCAUGCUUUUUGUCUGUUUUCCUGCCACUUCUAAGCCUGACUGUUGUCAGGGUCGGUGGCUUACAUCCAUUGUUAGCCCAGGGUCCCUCCUCUUAACUGACUGCUGGCUGGCCCUAGUCAGACCUACAGUUUGAUGCUGAGUGGCCUCUCUUCCGGUAUUAGUGGGGAGAAUAUCCUGCCUCACUGGAGUCCCCCACCCCCAGCGACUGAGAAUUCAUGCAGCUUGCCCAGUGGCUCCAGAGGCCAAGUCUCUCUCAUGUCUUUGCAUGGGGCCUGCUGGGACUCGUCUCCUGCUAUGCUUCAGCUCCUGCCCAAUCACUUACCUGUGCCAGGAGAAGCCUCUGGACAUGCCUGGGCAGCCUCUGGACAUGCACUGCUCCCAUUCCUCGCUGAGAGGGCAUCUCCCCGAGUGCCUCUCCAUCCCAGUAGACUCUCCAGAUGUGCCCAGUCCUCAACUGGUGUGGCCUCACCAGAGAGACUCAGACCAAACAGGCCUCCACAGCCUCUCUCUAGACACUUUCUGGGAAACCACAGUGGAAUACAAAAGGGCACCAACUGUUCUGAUCUCUUGAAGAGCUCCUCAGGCAACCUUCUGUUUCUAGCAAGAUGAUACACCCAAGCCUUGAUGACAAGGCUUGGCUCUCAACCUCCUUGCUCCCCACCUCCUGUGAAAUACACAAAGAAAUUCAGUGAUCAUCGGGGAUGCUCUGGUCCAAACACUACCUGCCAGCCAGACGCAGGAGAUGGAUGGCUCAGCAGUAAUCGUGCUGCUUGAGCUUGGUGUCUAAUGGGGACAGUAGUGACAGGAAGUUCACAGGGACUGGAAGACAUGAGUUCUCUGAGGGAAAGGAAGGUGAAGCCUGGUGCUUAGGACCCUCAGGAGACCAUAGGAUGUGAGAAGGCUCAAGACACCCAGAGGUGGGGUCAGAAACAGGGCAAAGGAGACCAAGCAUGGGAGAGCUGCAGUGGACGUGUACAGACAGGAGAAGCAGGCCCUAAAGAAUCCCUGAGGCGGCAGAGAGGCUGGGCUGUGGAACUUUUUAAUUACUUUGCAUUAGGGGACUGUAGAGACCCAGAAGCCCACCCUUCCCCUCCCCUCAUCAGCUUAGCCCCAACAUAUGGUGGCUACCAAAGUAGUUAAAUCGGCUCUUGGUAGAAAAGGAAAGAGAUUCCUCCCAGGCUCUUCCCAGGGUCCACGGCCACACUCCAGGAGGGCUCAACUCCAGGGCAAGGCAGCUGGGACAGCAGGCAGCUGAAGGAGGACUAUUACUGCACCUUAGGGAAGAGUGCAGUGGCGAGUGGGGAGGACUCUGCUGGGACCCGGGGGUCAUGUGCAUUCCCAUUUAGUUGAGCUCUGCUUAAUCCGGGCCUAGGCUCACAGUAAUGGGGAACGAGGAGAGGCUCCCAUCAGAGACCAAGAAGAUGACAGACUCUCUGUAAAGGCUGUCAGAGGGGUCUGCAUGACCAACCACACCUGCUCCUGUUCCUUUGGGGCUCUUGUGACCUCCCUGUCUUCUUGUGAGAUCUUAUGUUCCUCCAACCCUGAGAGCUACAAACCAAUCUCCGGAAUAAAAAAAUCUGUCCCUCGUGCUGUCA
rnacentral:lncRNA from 1 species